GACGAACGCUGGCGGCGUGCUUAACACAUGCAAGUCGAACGGAAAGGCCCUGCUUUCAGGGUACUCGAGUUGCCAACGGGUGAGUAACACGUGGGUGGUCUGCCCUCCACUUCGGGAUAAGCCUCGGCGACUGGGUGUAAUACCUGACAGGAGCCAUAUUUAGUGUGAUGGUUGGAUAGUUUUUUCGGUGUAUGAUGAGCUCGCGACCUAUCAGCUUGUUGGUGGGGUAAUGGCCUACCAAGGCGGCGGCGGGUAGCCGGCCUGCGUGGGUGGACGGCGACAUUGGGACUGAGAGGCGGCCCAGACAGCUACGGGAGGCAGAAGUGGGGAAGACUGAACGAGGGGCGCAGGGCUGGUGAAGAGGGGCCGCGGGGGGGAAGACGGCCUUAGGGUGGAAAAAUCCAUGCGCUAGGGACGAAGCAUUUUGUGACGGUACCUAGAUAAGAAGCCACGGCUAACUACGUG
rnacentral:rRNA from 1 species